AGCAGGUUGGGCAACCAUCACAAUGACCUAAUUUUAGAACAUUCCAUCACUCUCCACCUCUGUCUCUGUUUGUUCCUGCCUCUCUCCAGCCCAGGAAGCCACUGAUCUCCUUUCUGUCUCUAAAGCUACUGUGAAUAAUGCCUCUAUGGAUGUGCACAAGUUUUUGUGUGGACACAGAUACAUACCCAAAAUAAUUGAAAAACCUGUGAGUGGAACUGCUGGGCCGUAUGGUGCUCCAUUGAGAUCCAUGCUUUUCUCCCCCACGUUUGAACAGCUGCAAGUGGACCACAGAGUCUAGUUGUUCCUGAUGUGGCAUCAAGGAUAUCUUCUCACUCUGAAGAGGUGUUUCUAAGUCAUUACUAGAGGAUACUUUCAUUGACAUAAUUCUUCAGAUGAAUUGCCCUCAUAGAACUCUCCUAGUGCUUUUCAAAUUCUUGGCAUUAUGCCAAGAAGAAAACAUCAGACAGAUGCCUAUGGCUAUUAACAUCUCUCUUUGAUCACCUGCUAAUCUCCUCUCCAGCUCAGGACUAUCUGUGGACAUCAAAGAACAAGAACCAGUCCACACUGGCACCUGACCCCCCCACACCACCAGAAGACCUCUUCAAAGAAUUUGGAAUGGUUUUGAGGAAUGUUCUUUUGCCC
rnacentral:lncRNA from 1 species